rnacentral:misc_RNA from 1 species
UGAACUCCAUCUCAUCCAUGC